UCAUUAUGUAUUGAAGAUGUUCUUACUCUCUCUUUCAUGAAAUGCACAUUUAAUUCAUGGCAUUUGUAUCAUCUGUUGGUGAACGUCACAACAGGCAUUAUUCAGGACACCAAAGCACGCGGGUGCUGUGAAGGACCCCCAGCGUAUAUAAACCAUGACCGGACAUUUGUCCAGCCUCUCGUUCGCGGCUCUCUACGCAGCUCAAAGUGGGCAAAGCGUCGAGAUUAUUCACGAUUUACUAUACCUCGAAAUAAAAGGUCAAAUAAUGAGGCUUCUCGUCGAGUUUACUACUGUGAAGACCAAGUUUGAAGAUGGGUGAAUAAAGAUCACCCUGGCUGAAUGGUUGCAGCUGCCUCAUCAGAGCACUGAUGGAACAUGACUUCCAGCCUCUGGAUACUACAGUAGUCCUGUGUGAUGACCAGCUGGACUAUGGAGACUGCUCUCUGGUUCUUCCACACUGACGAGUUGGCGUGACAGUUCUACAGCUGUAAAACUUCCUGGAAGGGAUGGGAUUCAGUUUUCAUGAGGUAUGACUUUCAGCCCAAGCUGGAUGGGUAACCCUACUCCUAGGGCCAGAAGCCACAAAUCUCCCAACGGUUGGCCUGUGCCACAUCAUAUUCCACCAGGAAGACCAAUUGUAUCAGAUGGUGAUAAUGAAACUUAUUACACAGCUGCAUUUUUAGACUUAUCUUACUCCUCUCUACCAGACACACCAGUUAAAUCAAAGAUUCAUAUGAUUUUGUACACAAUUCAGCAGCUAAAUAUCUCUGAACAGUCUUUUCUGUUCACGGCUGAUAUCGACAGCAUGUACACAAAUAUUGAUAUCAUAAAAGGCAUCCAAGCCAUAAGAAACAUUUUUCAAAAAUAUCCAGAUAGUAGGAGGCCAGAUAAAGAACUGUUGCAGUUACUUUGAAUUUGCUGAGAAAUAUUUCCAAAUUAAAGGGACCGUAAUGGGUAAAAAGUUUGCCCCAGCAUAUGCUAAUAUCUUUAUGGCUCAGUGGGAAACUCCAUCUUAGACAUGCUACAAAAAGCCUGCCUAAUAUUUUAGAUAUUUAAAUGAUAUCUGGGGUGUUUGGACCCAUUCUAGAGAGGAGUUCAAUCAUUUUUUUUUGAACUCAUAACUGUCAGAAUAAGUCAAUCACACUUAAAUCUAUGGUGAGCAAUAAUUCUUUCCUGGAUACCACUACAUUCAAACAUACUGAUUCAGCAGACUCGCAGGUUACAUAUUAAGAUUUUUAAAGAAACUGAUAACCAUGCUUUGCUUUAUAAAAACAAUUAAGCCAUCUAGGGGUCAUUCCUACUCAAAGUUGUUUUGUACAAAGCUUUUCUUAACUGGCAUUUACAUGCAAGUGCAUUUAGAGACAUUUCAAAUAAAUGGUUGACAACACAAUGA